rnacentral:rRNA from 1 species
CAUACAAUGGGCCCGAAACCGGGUGACCUACCCAUGGUCAGGUUGAAGUGGAAGUAAAAUUCCAUGGAGGACCGAACCGACCUCCGUUGAAAAGGCGGCGGAUGAACUGUGGGUAGCGGAGAAAUUCCAAUCGAACCCGGAGAUAGCUGGUUCUCCCCGAAAUAGUUUUAGGACUAGCCUCAAGUUAGAUACCUGGAGGUAAAGCACUGAAUAGCCUAGCGGCCGAGAGGUUAGCGAAGCUUAUCAAACUCAGAAUGCCAGAGUAUUGAUGCUUGGGAGUCAGACAGUGUCAGAUAAAUGUCAUUGUCAAAAGGGAAACAGCCCAGAUCUACAGCUAAGGUCCCAAAGUCAGGUUAAGUGGAAAACGAUGUGAAGAUACGCAGACAACCAGGAUGUUGGCUCAGAAGCAGCCACUCAUUCAAAGAGUGCGUAAUAGCUCACUGGUCGAGCGUCUUUGCGCGGAGAAUUUAACGGGGCUAAACCUGACACCGAAGCUUAGGCAAUCCAGUAAUGGAUUGGGUAGGGGAGCGUUGUAUACGCGGAGAAACAGUAGCGUAAGCGGCUGUGGAGUGUAUAGAAGUGAGAAUGCCGGAAUGAGUAGCGCGAAUGCAGUGAGAAUCUGCAUGGCCGAAAGCCUCAGGUUUCUGGAGGAAGGUUCGUCCGCUCCAGGUUAGUCGGGAGCUAAGGUGAGGCCUAACGGCGUAGCCGAUGCACAGACGGUAGAGAUUCCGUCACCACCAAAAGAGUUAAGCACAGGGACACAUUUGAAGUCUCAGAGCCGGGUGUUGGUUCCGGUAGAGAUCGAGGGAAAUUAGUACCGAAGUCCGGGAUGGAAGAUGGCGAGAAAAGCUGUGUGUAUUUCUGCGGUGCCCGUACCGCAAACCGACACAGGUAGGUAGGAAGAAGAUUCUAAGGCCAACGGGAGAAGGGUUGUUAAGGAACUCGGCAAAUUGACCCCGUAACUUCGGGAGAAGGGGUGCUCCAGAGAUGGAGCCGCAGAGAAUCGGCCCAAGCAACUGUUUACCAAAAACACAGGUUUGUGCUAAAUCGAAAGAUGACGUAUACGAGCUGACGCCUGCCCGGUGCUGGAAGGUUAAGAGGAGAUGUGCAAGCAUUGAAUCGAAGCCCCAGUGAACGGCGGCCGUAACUAUAACGGUCCUAAGGUAGCGAAAUUCCUUGUCAGGUA